GGGGCCGUGCCUGAAGUAAAGGACCACUUUGAUAGAGUGAACAAUGGGGGUUAGAGUCCCCCCAGCCCCU
rnacentral:tRNA from 2 species